rnacentral:rRNA from 1 species
GGAAUAUUGGUCAAUGGGCGCGAGCCUGAACCAGCCAAGUAGCGUGGGGGAUGACUGCCCUAUGGGUUGUAAACCCCUUUUGCGCGGGGAUAAACCGGCGGACGCGUCCGCCGCUGCAGGUACCGCGCGAAUAAGGACCGGCUAAUUCCGUGCCAGCAGCCGCGGUAAUACGGAAGGUCCGGGCGUUAUCCGGAUUUAUUGGGUUUAAAGGGAGCGUAGGCGGGAGGCUAAGCGUGCUGUGAAAUCCGGCGGCUCAACCGUCGCGAGCAGCGCGAACUGGCUUUCUUGAGUGCGCGGGAGGCAGGCGGAAUUCGUGGUGUAGCGGUGAAAUGCUUAGAUAUCACGAAGAACCCCGAUUGCGAAGGCAGCCUGCCGUAGCGUUACUGACGCUGAAGCUCGAAGGUGCGGGUAUCGAACA